CCGGGAAUUUUGGACAAUGGGCGAAAGCCUGACCCAGCAACGCCGCGUGAGGGAUGAAGUAUUUCGGUAUGUAAACCUCGAAAGAAUGGGAAGAAUAAAUGACGGUACCAUUUAUAAGCUCCGGCUAACUACGUGCCAGCAGCCGCGGUAAUACGUAGGGAGCAAGCGUUGUUCGGAUUUACUGGGCGUAAAGGGCGCGUAGGCGGCGCGGUAAGUCACUUGUGAAAUCUCUGAGCUUAACUCAGAACGGCCAAGUGAUACUGCUGUCCUAGAGUGCGGAAGAGGCAACCGGAAUUCUUGGUGUAGCGGUGAAAUGCGUAGAUAUCAAGAGGAACACCUGAGGCGAAGGCGGGUUGCUGGGCCGACACUGACGCUGAUGCGCGAAAGCCAGGGGAGCAAACG
rnacentral:rRNA from 1 species